rnacentral:rRNA from 1 species
GUCACGGCUAACUACGUGCCAGCAGCCGCGGUAAUACGUAGGUGGCAAGCGUUAUCCGGAUUUAUUUGGGCGUAAAGAGAGUGCAGGCGGUUUCUAAGUCUGAUGUGAAGCCUUCGGCUUAACCGGAGAAGUGCAUCGGAAACUGGAUAACUUGAGUGCAGAAGAGGGUAGUGGAACUACCCACUGUGUAGCGGUGGAAUGCGUAGAUAUAUGGAAGAACACCAGUGGCGAAGGCGGUUACCUGGUCUGCAACUGACGCUGAGACUCGAAAGCAUGGGUACGCGAACAGGAUUAGACUACCCUGGUAG